GGCGCUGUAGCCAAGUGGUUACGGCGACAGAUUUGAAUCAUCAUUAUCUGUUCCUCUUUGAGGGCGCAGGUUCGAACCCUGCCGGCGUCG